UCCCUCUAUCUUUCGCAUCAAGUGUGAUGAAUUGGAAUUCAUCAUCGGUCAUGUGUCUUGAGCACCCACUAUCAAUAUACCAUUUUCUAUUUGUUCCUUGGGAUGCAAGAUACACCUGCAUGCAAAAAUCAAAUUUUUACUUUAGGUACCAAAGUUUUCUUGGAUCCUCUUUGGUUAGUCACAAUGGUUCCUUUUGGAAUCCAUAUUUUCUUCACAUUAGAAUUUUUAGAUUUGUUAAAGAAAUAAGUAUAAGAUUUGUGUCCUAUUAUACUACAUUUAAAAUAAGUAGUAUUUGAAAACUUGUUGCUUGAUGAAUUCGCAUAGAUAUUUUUUAAGAAUUUUUGUUUCUUUAAAGGGUUGUAGCCAAGACCGACUUUAUCAUAAACGAUCUUUUGAUUAUCAAGUAUCAUUUGAAGUUUAGUUGAACUAAGAGUGAACUUUUCUACUAUAGGUUUUAACUUAGCAAUUUUAUUUUUUAAAUUUAGAUUUUUUUGUAUCAAGACUAAUUUUUUAUUUAAAAUUAUUUUAUUUUUUUUAAUAAAGAUUAAUUCUUUGAUUUUAAUUCUUUGUUCUUUACCUCUAACUUCUUUAGAUCAUCAACUAGAUCAUAAAAUACUUCUUAAAGUUCUUCAAAAGUAAAGUCAUCAGGAGUUUCAGUGUUUACCUCAUUUUCAUGUGCCAUAAGGCACAAGUUGGUUUGCUCAUAUGAAUCUUCUUCUUCGAAGCUUGACUCAUCACUAUCACUCCAAGUAGCCAUCAUAGCUUUUUUCUUGUACUUCU
rnacentral:lncRNA from 1 species